AGUUUUGUGGCUUAGUUGGUUAAAGCGCCAGACUAGUGAUUUGGAGUCGUAGGUUCAAAUCCCACCAACACAA
rnacentral:tRNA from 1 species